GCCACAACUGAUAGCUCAGUUGGUAGAGCAUGCGACUCUUAAUCUCAGGGUUGUGGGUUCGAGCCCCACGUUGGGCA
rnacentral:tRNA from 1 species